ensembl:lncRNA
CAGAAAAGGCGCGGCUUGACCUAGUUCAAUCAGUGCAUCCUGGCUUAAUCCGUUGCACGUUUGCUGAGCCAGGAUGAGAACGCGCGGAUAUGUCAAGCCAGGUGUAUAUAGUUUGGAUAAAUGCACGUUCACGGCAUUCUUAAAAAGAUCACGAAAUCGAUCACAGAAUCACCGAUGCAAAAAUGGACAAAACCCGUGCGGCAUACUUUUCGCCUAAUGAGCAACAGCUUCUUAUGGAAACGUAUGAAGAAGUGAAACAUAUUAUAUGUAAAAAAGGCAAUACAGCUGCUGUAAUAAAGCAAAGAGAGAAUGCCUGGCAAACAAUAGCGGACCGAUUGAAUGCAACAAACAUGUCUGGCCAAAAAAGGACUUGGCAGCAAGUCAAGAUUAAAUACAAGAAUAUUUUGCAGGCUGGUAACAAUAAAAAAAAAAGUCAUAUAUCUGGUACGGGGGGUGGCCCUCCAACCCAAGACUUCACCACAGCAGAGGAGCUGGCCCUGGACUUAAAUAAAGGGAAGCCAGUGAUUGAAGGGAUCCAGGGAGGGACAGCCACUGACUCUGGCCCAGCAAGGGAUACUGGCCUCUUCAUACAAGUGGAUGGUAACACCCUUACACUUUUGGAGCCACCAGACUAUAAUUCAUCGAGGGAAGCCACAUCUACAGCAGCGGAGUGCACUUCUGCCGAUGAUGAGACCGUGUCGCUGGACUCCAGAAGGCUCGAGGAUCCUGACAUUGGGCAGCCUGAUAAGCAGCCUCGUAACAUAAGUUCACAAACUGUCAGAUAUCUGUACACAACGCAUCUUAAGAGACCGAUCGAGCUGACAGAAGUCAAGAUUGAUGUGAAAAAAAGAAAGCUGCAGGACAUGGACCUUGAGAUGCAAAUUAAACGAAACACACUGAGGAAACUAGAACUGGAAAUCCAGAAACUAGAAAGAGAAGUAAGUGACUUCAGUUCAUACUGUAACCAUGACUGUAACACAAUGUAUUAAUCAUCAUAAUUUUUUUCUCUCCAAAGCUCCAAGCUGACAAGUGAUAACAAC